CCGCGUCUUUAGGCCGGGGGUAUCUGCCCGUGUAAGGGUUGUAAGACGAAUAAUAAUAGCUGUCGACUGGCUCGUCACCAUACGUUGCCAUUUUGUUCAACCAGCCGAGGUUGGUAGGUGUAGCUAUUUAAAUAGAUUGGGCAACACGAGCUCUCCAUUAGGCCUAAUUACGGUCAGGUGUGAGCCUGGAGGCAUUUCCUCUCCCCAAAAACAGCAGACACGUGACGAAGGUCAGACAACUUGAGCAGUAUUUGUAACAUAUUGUGGUCUGCUGCUGUGACAGUUUGCUGCCCACAAUAAUGCAUCGGACUCCGUACAGCAUCACCACGCCUGUGUUAAGGAGCCUUGCUGUUUGGGGGCUGCAGCCCACAGAAUCUGAUCCUCUGAGUGAAACUGCUGCAUAUCAAGCUGUGGUGCCGCACACAGAGGAAGCUGAGUGUCUGGAGAAAAUAAAUGCACUGACGUCACAGGGAGAGGGACAGGACAGCACCCAUCAGUGACUCAGGCCUUCAUCGGCCUCCUCCCCUUCCCGGAGACACAUUGUGUCCCCCAUUAACCAAUGGAUGACUCCUGUUUGAUUGGAGAGCCCCCUGCUGGCCCAUUUCAGUAACAACCUUCUCUCCAGUUGUCUCCUGUGCCGCCGUAUGUCCGAGGAGCGGGAAGAGAUCUGAGAAGGUUGGGCCAAUUUGCUGCGAGGCAGAGGGAUCCCCCCUCCUGCAGAAGCACUGGGUCGGGGCAGGCCGCUGCGGGGAGAAGCCAG